GAUGAAGAACGUAGCGAAAUGCGAUAAGUAAUGUGAAUUGCAGAAUUCAGUGAAUCAUCGAAUCUUUGAACGCACAUUGCGCCCCUUGGUAUUCCGAGGGGCAUGCCUGUUCGAGCGUCAUUAUAACCCUCAAGCUCAGCUUGGUGUUGGGGCCUGCUGCACUGGCAGCCCUUAAAAUCAGUGGCGGCGCCAUCUGGCUCUAAGCGUAGUAAUUCUUCUCGCUAUGGAGUCCUGGUGGAUGCUUGCCAUCAACCCCUAAUUUUUCUAUGGUUGACCUCGGAUCAGGUAGGGAUACCCGCUGAACUUAAGCAUAUCAAUAAGCGGAGGA
rnacentral:misc_RNA from 1 species